GGCUCGGUGGUGCAUGGUCCACAUCUGCAUUCUAUAUAUGCGGAUGGGCGAAGAAAGAACUGCUGCAGAACCGCCCGUUCGACUCGGGCCCGAGCCA